GAGGGUAGAGCUCAUUGGCAGAGCGCAUGUUCAGCAUGCACAAGGUCCUGGGUUCAAUCCCCAGUACCUCCA
rfam:Camelus ferus unplaced genomic scaffold scaffold782, whole genome shotgun sequence.